AGAUGAAGAAAUGCCUCCUAGAUUAGGAAGGCCCGCGUCUGAAAGCACCGCUCUGCUGCUGUGGAGGUCGUCACCGCAGCUCCUCACCCUCGGACACGGACUCUCGCGGGCUGCAGCGAGCCAUCGGGCCUUCAGCCUGGGCCUUGCCCUGUGGCUUCCGGCUUCUCGCCCUGAGCAGCUGCAGACUGAGGAGCUCCUCCCAUCCUGCAGAGUGCAGACAGACACUGUGGACGCUCCGGGCUCUGAACGCCUAAGAAAUCGCCUUGCCCAAAUAAGUACACAAGCUUCUCCCCUGGUGGUUGACUUCAAGCUCUCUGAGUGACAUCAGUGAACACAUACUUGGAAAGAUAUGUGCAGCAGCAGCACAUAAUUAUGUACUAUUUCUGCCACACAAAUACAGUAAACUGACAGAACCCAGCCACCACAUUGUACCUUUCCGUACCCUAAAAUCAGCAAAGGCAGGUCUCCACCCCAGAGCCUGUGAGAAACUCCAGCACUCAGUCAACAGUCCAUGAGGACCUCAAUCCUGUCAACAGUCUCUUAGGUGAGUAUGAGAGUAGAUCUUCCCCUAUUGAGCCUUCAGAUAAGGUCACAGCCCUGGCAACUCCUUGAAUGCAGCCACAUAUCCCAAUUAGCCAGCCCCAGAUUUCUAAGAGGAAGAAAGUAUGAGGUGAUAGAUACUUGUUUUAUGCUCCCACCAUGUUUUGCAGUAAUUCAUUAUAUUGCCAAUUGCUCAGAAUUAUUUAUCCAAUGAACAUGUAUCAAAUAUCUUUGUGACAGGCCCUGUAACAAAAAAAAAGAAGCAGAUCUGCUGAGAACAUGGGGCACCUAAACCUUGAGGAAAUCAGUCUGCCAAGGAGGAUGAAUAGGUCAAUAGAUAGUAUAUAAUAUCUAAUGGAGAGAUAAGAAAAAUUCCAUAAGACUAUAAGAAAAGCUAACUGUAUAUGACAGAGCUUCACUGAAUAACUGCCACUUGAGCUAGAUCCUAAAGUUUGAGCACAUUAAGAAUCUGGCAGGUGGUGCUGAUUCCACAGGAGCUGCUGCUUCCAGGAACUGCACAGAGGAGAGUCCACACGUAAUCACAGAACCACUUUACAUGUAGUUACCAGAUGAAGAAGCCACAAGACAGUGUGGUUUGUCU
rnacentral:lncRNA from 1 species